rnacentral:lncRNA from 1 species
UGAUGUUUCCUCAGAUUCUUCAUAUAAGCUAUGACUACUAGUAUCACAUAUAGGAGCCUAUAAUAUGGUUAAGUGAAUGGAAGUUUUAGAGAAUAGAACUCUGGAAAUCUAAUGUUGACUAAAAAGAGUGUUAGAACUGUGGUCAGUGUGUGGGAGAAGCUAGUGGUUUGAUUAGGUAGAAAAUCAGUGUUUGAACCCAAGUCCCUGCUGAGCUUAGGGAUGGGGCUCAGACCAAAGGAGUAGUCACCAAUUUUGAUUUUCAUUCAUUCAUUGAUUUUUUUUUUUUUCAGUGCGAGGGGAACCUAGGGCCUUGCCCAUGCCAGGGAAGUGCUCUACCACUGAGUUAUACUUCAGCCCUAAAUGUUCUUAAUAUUACUGAAUUUGGCUAAAUAUAAUCCUGAUUCAUGAAAUUCUUCCUGUUUGUCCAUAAAUAACUGUGAAUACCUAUCAACCUGCUCUAAGAGUUAAACUAUUACAAAUAACUUAUACCAAUGCCUAUGCUUCAUCUCUUCCCUUUGCUUCCUCUUAGAGGGAACCACUAUCCUUGAUUUUUGUCCCUUCAUUACCACAAGGAGGAAGUCUGGCUCCCAAUGAUCCCUGCCUGGUGUUCAUACCCAUAUGUACCCUUCCCCUUGAAUGUUAGCUGGACCCAGUGUCUUGCAUCUAAUAAACAGAUGUCAGGCAAAAAAUAUGAUGAGGUGUCACUCCCUUGGUUACAUUAGAUAACAUUGUAACUUCCAUCCCACUAGCUCACUCUUUACUCUCUCCCUUAUUGGCUUUGAUGAAGUAAGCUAGUAUGCCAGAGAUGGCCACAUGGCAAGGAAAUGGGGGCAGCCACCCACCAGCAACCAGCAAAACACUGAAAAGCUCAGUCCAAUAGCCUACAAGGAACUGGAUUCUGUCCACAAUCAAGACAGCAUGGCUCCUUCCCCAGUUGAAACUUCUGUCUGACACCUGGAGUACAGUCUUGUAAGAAACUCUGAAGCAGAGGACCCAGCAAAGCUGUGCCUAGACUCUUAACCCACAGAAAAAUGUGAGAUAAUAAAUGUGUUGUUUUGGGCUGGAGAUGUGGCUCAAGCGGUAGUGCGUUUGCCUGGCAUGUGCGUGGCGCUGGGUUUGAUACUUAGCUCACAUACAAAUAAAGAUGUUGUGUCCGCCAAAAAUUAAAGAAAAAUAUUUAAAAAUUUUCUCUCUUUAAAAAAUAAAUAAAUGUGUUGUUUUAAAUCUCUAAUUUAGUGGCAAUUUGUUAUAUGGUGAUAACUAAUACAGGUUAUUUUUUGUUGUUGCCAUUGGAGCAUUGCUAUGAAUAUUGCUGUAACUUAUCUCUCAGAACACAGAACACAACAGUUUUAAGUUUCCCCUGGGGAUGCGCCUAGGAAUGGAAUUGCUAUAACUCAGGAUUUACAAAUGUUCCACAUUAUUCGUAGUCAGCAAAUCAUCAGAGUUAAGGUCAUACCAAGGCCCUGAUGUCUUGGUCAGUGUUGGGAAUAAAGUUGGCCUCAGUCCAUAGAACUUGAGCAGUGUGUGCACAGUCAGGAAUCAUACAGAAAGCCAAGAUAAGGGUCAGUCCAUGGGCAGUUGAGGGUAAGGGUGUGGCCACAGUUGGGGAGAAUCUGAGGCUUGGGUUUAGGGUUGGGUUUAGACAAAGUUGCAGGAUACUGUGAAGGUAUACAUUUGGGGGUCCAUUUAAGCCAGGAUUAGAAGUCAGGCUGUCAUAGUUCACAAAAACUGACCCUUGGGCUGGGGAUGUGGCUCAAGUGGUAGUGUGCUCGCCUGGCAUGUGCAGGGCGCUGGGUUCGAUCCUCAGCACCACACAAAAAUAAAGAUGUUGAGUCCACCGAAACUAA